UACGGGGGGGGCAAGCGUUGUUCGGAAUUACUGGGCGUAAAGGGCUUGUAGGUGGCCAACUAAGUCAGACGUGAAAUCCCUCGGCUUAACCGGGGAACUGCGUCUGAUACUGGAUGGCUAGAGAUUGGGAGAGGGAUGCGGAAUUCCAGGUGUAGCGGUGAAAUGCGUAGAUAUCUGGAGGAACACCGGUGGCGAAGGCGGCAUCCUGGACCAACACUGACACUGAAAAGCGAAGCCAGGGGAGCAAACGGGAUUAGA
rnacentral:rRNA from 1 species